UGGGGAAUAUUGCACAAUGGGCGGAAGCCUGAUGCAGCGACGCCGCGUGAGGGAUGACGGCCUUCGGGUUGUAAACCUCUUUCAGUAGGGACGAAGCGUAAGUGACGGUACCUGCAGAAGAAGCACCGGCUAACUACGUGCCAGCAGCCGCGGUAAUACGUAGGGUGCGAGCGUUGUCCGGAAUUACUGGGCGUAAAGAGCUCGUAGGCGGUUUGUCACGUCGUCUGUGAAAUCCUAGGGCUUAACCCUGGACGUGCAGGCGAUACGGGCUGACUUGAGUACUACAGGGGAGACUGGAAUUUCUGGUGUAGCGGUGGAAUGCACAGAUAUCAGGAAGAACACCGAUGGCGAAGGCAGGUCUCUGGGUAGUAACUGACGCUGAGGAGCGAAAGCUUGGGUAGCGAACAGG
rnacentral:rRNA from 1 species